rnacentral:rRNA from 1 species
UGUUGUUGGGUAGGGGAGCGUUCUGUAAGCCUGUGAAGGUGUGUCGUGAGGCAUGCUGGAGGUAUCAGAAGUGCGAAUGCUGACAUAAGUAACGAUAAAGCGGGUGAAAAGCCCGCUCGCCGGAAGACCAAGGGUUCCUGUCCAACGUUAAUCGGGGCAGGGUGAGUCGACCCCUAAGGCGAGGCCGAAAGGCGUAGUCGAUGGGAAACGGGUUAAUAUUCCCGUACUUGGUGUUACUGCGAAGGGGGGACGGAGAAGGCUAUGUUGGCCGGGCGACGGUUGUCCCGGUUUAAGCGUGUAGGUGUGUGUUCCAGGUAAAUCCGGUUCACUUUAACACUGAGGCGUGACGACGAGGCACUACGGUGCUGAAGCAACAAAUGCCCUGCUUCCAGGAAAAGCCUCUAAGCAUCAGGUAACAUCAAAUCGUACCCCAAACCGACACAGGUGGUCAGGUAGAGAAUACCAAGGCGCUUGAGAGAACUCGGGUGAAGGAACUAGGCAAAAUGGUGCCGUAACUUCGGGAGAAGGCACGCUGACACGUAGGUGAAGUGAUUUACUCAUGGAGCUGAAGUCAGUCGAAGAUACCAGCUGGCUGCAACUGUUUAUUAAAAACACAGCACUGUGCAAACACGAAAGUGGACGUAUACGGUGUGACGCCUGCCCGGUGCCGGAAGGUUAAUUGAUGGGGUCAGCGCAAGCGAAGCUCCUGAUCGAAGCCCCGGUAAACGGCGGCCGUAACUAUAACGGUCCUAAGGUAGCGAAAUUCCUUGUCGGGUAAGUUCCGACCUGCACGAAUGGCGUAAUGAUGGCCAGGCUGUCUCCACCCGAGACUCAGUGAAAUUGAACUCGCUGUGAAGAUGCAGUGUACCCGCGGCAAGACGGAAAGACCCCGUGAACCUUUACUAUAGCUUGACACUGAACAUUGAGCCUUGAUGUGUAGGAUAGGUGGGAGGCUUUGAAGUGUGGACGCCAGUCUGCAUGGAGCCGACCUUGAAAUACCACCCUUUAAUGUUUGAUGUUCUAACGUGGACCCGUUACCCGGGUUGCGGACAGUGUCUGGUGGGUAGUUUGACUGGGGCGGUCUCCUCCUAAAGAGUAACGGAGGAGCACGAAGGUUGGCUAAUCCUGGUCGGACAUCAGGAGGUUAGUGCAAUGGCAUAAGCCAGCUUGACUGCGAGCGUGACGGCGCGAGCAGGUGCGAAAGCAGGUCAUAGUGAUCCGGUGGUUCUGAAUGGAAGGGCCAUCGCUCAACGGAUAAAAGGUACUCCGGGGAUAACAGGCUGAUACCGCCCAAGAGUUCAUAUCGACGGCGGUGUUUGGCACCUCGAUGUCGGCUCAUCACAUCCUGGGGCUGAAGUAGGUCCCAAGGGUAUGGCUGUUCGCCAUUUAAAGUGGUACGCGAGCUGGGUUUAGAACGUCGUGAGACAGUUCGGUCCCUAUCUGCCGUGGGCGCUGGAGAACUGAGGGGGGCUGCUCCUAGUACGAGAGGACCGGAGUGGACGCAUCACUGGUGUUCGGGUUGUCAUGCCAAUGGCACUGCCCGGUAGCUAAAUGCGGAAGAGAUAAGUGCUGAAAGCAUCUAAGCACGAAACUUGCCCCGA